UUGGCGUAAGUGUUGCGUAGGAAACGAGGUGCAGAUCGGAACCAUGCAUGCGUUUCAUUCCAGAUCAAUACAGAGAAGCUUCAUACCAGUUGAUACUUUUGUAAUGUGUAUGCCUUGCCUUCCACUUGGAGCCUAAAGUGAUAUUUGAAUGAUUUAUUUAUUUAUUUAUUGUGUGACCUGGAAGUCAAAAUAUAUUUUUAAAAACCGAUUAAAUCUGAAGGAGUAUGCAGUUUUCAGUUGUUGAUUCUUGACAAACAAACAAGCAUGCAGCUUGAAACAUCAUAUGGCAUAUACCCUCCCCCGUCCUCUUUUUAGAAAAUUAAAUAUCAACUCAAAAUACCAAGGAUUUAUUAACAAUAACCCAGACCUUUUUUUCUCAUGAAUUUAGUGCUUUUCAUACCAUUGAAGUAAGCAAAUUAAUGUGGAGCAUGAAACGUGUGCUCCACUCAAAUCGGAAUCUAAUCCAGUUGCUACUAUUACUAAUUGCAAAAUUAAUGUACACAAUUCUGCACUUCUUUUAAAUUUUUUUUUUUAAAUAAUUGAAUUAAUAUCCAAUCGUGGGUGAUUACAAUUUCUUGGACUCCUGUGGUUCAAGAGAUCUAGACUGUUGCUAUAGAUACCACUUUUCUUUUCUUUUUCUUUUUUUCCUUUUCUUCUUUGUGUUUCCACUUUAAUUAACCACCACGUUUUUCUUAUUAAUCACCCUCCAUUUUGCUUAUAUAUAUGAGAAAUUGACUAUAAAGUUGUCCUCCAACUAUACCUCGACUUGCAUAUAACUCGUUCUUUCUAUCAACUCUAUUAACUUUUCCAUCAAAUUUAGGGCUAUACUUGUCUUUUCACAUUCUGGAUUCUUCAAGUCUAACAGAGUUGAUAGAAAGGACAAUUUCUGCAAAUUGAGGCAUAGUUAGAGAACAACCAUAGCUAUUUUGAAGUUCAUGGACGAAAAUAUAAGUCGGAGUAUAAUUCAGGGACAACUGUUACAUUUUAGCUUAUUUAAAUAAUAGCCAUAUCUAUAAUUGCCAUCAUUAGAAACCACAUAAAUAAUAAUUGGUCGCAUAUGACUUCAUUAAAUCAAAGGAGGUACACGUUAAUUAGCUCGAAAUUCCAUAACAAAAUUUUUCCAAGGGAUCGAACAAUCCUAGCAAUUAAUAGUACAUUCCUUAAUUUAUCAAAGCUAAAUAUUACCACUCUAUCAAGAAUGCAUGCAAUUACUAGUCAGUCAUGCAGCUGGAGCAUAAUCAUAACCACCAUCAUCAUCGUCAUCGUCAUCCCCUUCCAUGGCUGCUGCUGCUGCUGGAGCAUAGUCAUAGUCUGAAUCAUCGUCAUCGCCGUCGCCUUCUAUACAUGCUGCCAGGGCAAAUAUAUCAUCACCGUUGAAGUCGUCGACUCCAUCGCCAUGCACCUCGCACCAUGAGGCACUGAUGAUCAACUUGGAAAGGGGAAACAUUUCCAACAAUUUGGAAAGGGGAAAAAGAAAGAAGAAAAGAAAACAACUGGAGUUUGGGAAAAGGGGAAGGUUUUGAUUGGAUUUGAAUAAGAAUGUUUGAGGGUUUGCCAGAUUUAUAUAGAGUGGAGAAGUUUGCUGGGCUCGUUUUGCCACAAGUUAGUCGCGUGUUGAGAGUGUGGACUCGUGCUUCAAGG
rnacentral:lncRNA from 1 species